rnacentral:rRNA from 1 species
CGCUGGCGGCGUGCCUAAUACAUGCAAGUCGAACGAGUUCUGAUUAUUGAAAGGUGCUUGCAUCUUGAUUUAAUUUUGAACGAGUGGCGGACGGGUGAGUAACACGUGGGUAACCUGCCCUUAAGUGGGGGAUAACAUUUGGAAACAGAUGCUAAUACCGCAUAAAUCCAAAAACCGCAUGGUUCUUGGCUGAAAGAUGGCGUAAGCUAUCGCUUUUGGAUGGACCCGCGGCGUAUUAGCUAGUUGGUGAGGUAACGGCUCACCAAGGCAAUGAUACGUAGCCGAACUGAGAGGUUGAUCGGCCACAUUGGGACUGAGACACGGCCCAAACUCCUACGGGAGGCAGCAGUAGGGAAUCUUCCACAAUGGACGCAAGUCUGAUGGAGCAACGCCGCGUGAGUGAAGAAGGCUUUCGGGUCGUAAAACUCUGUUGUUGGAGAAGAAUGGUCGGCAGAGUAACUGUUGUCGGCGUGACGGUAUCCAACCAGAAAGCCACGGCUAACUACGUGCCAGCAGCCGCGGUAAUACGUAGGUGGCAAGCGUUAUCCGGAUUUAUUGGGCGUAAAGCGAGCGCAGGCGGUUUUUUAAGUCUGAUGUGAAAGCCCUCGGCUUAACCGAGGAAGUGCAUCGGAAACUGGGAAACUUGAGUGCAGAAGAGGACAGUGGAACUCCAUGUGUAGCGGUGAAAUGCGUAGAUAUAUGGAAGAACACCAGUGGCGAAGGCGGCUGUCUGGUCUGUAACUGACGCUGAGGCUCGAAAGCAUGGGUAGCGAACAGGAUUAGAUACCCUGGUAGUCCAUGCCGUAAACGAUGAAUGCUAGGUGUUGGAGGGUUUCCGCCCUUCAGUGCCGCAGCUAACGCAUUAAGCAUUCCGCCUGGGGAGUACGACCGCAAGGUUGAAACUCAAAGGAAUUGACGGGGGCCCGCACAAGCGGUGGAGCAUGUGGUUUAAUUCGAAGCAACGCGAAGAACCUUACCAGGUCUUGACAUCUUUUGAUCACCUGAGAGAUCAGGUUUCCCCUUCGGGGGCAAAAUGACAGGUGGUGCAUGGUUGUCGUCAGCUCGUGUCGUGAGAUGUUGGGUUAAGUCCCGCAACGAGCGCAACCCUUAUGACUAGUUGCCAGCAUUUAGUUGGGCACUCUAGUAAGACUGCCGGUGACAAACCGGAGGAAGGUGGGGAUGACGUCAAAUCAUCAUGCCCCUUAUGACCUGGGCUACACACGUGCUACAAUGGAUGGUACAACGAGUUGCGAGACCGCGAGGUCAAGCUAAUCUCUUAAAGCCAUUCUCAGUUCGGACUGUAGGCUGCAACUCGCCUACACGAAGUCGGAAUCGCUAGUAAUCGCGGAUCAGCACGCCGCGGUGAAUACGUUCCCGGGCCUUGUACACACCGCCCGUCACACCAUGAGAGUUUGUAACACCCGAAGCCGGUGGCGUAACCCUUUUAGGGAGCGAGCCGUCUAAGGUGGGAC